rnacentral:lncRNA from 1 species
UGGUCAUAAUCUCAAUUCAAAUUCCGAAUGGAGUUUGCAACAAUAAUAACCCAUUAAAAUACAUCAUAAAUGUAUUUGGAUUAGGUCCCUUACACUGCUUUUAAAUUGUCUUAAAUAUGUCCAUUCACCAGGAAACCCUGGUUUUCCCCCAUUUUUUGCUCCUAAUUUCUAAAUGAUUUGAGCCAUAACCCCCCAAAGCCAAUCCUAACCAUCCCUUAGUGGUAUGGAAACUUGUAUAAUUUCAAUGAUAUUCAUACACUUAAACACAAGUAAUUGCCUGGAAACUAGAAAAAUGCUGAUAUUGGUCCCUGUAUGGCCCCUAAUUCCUUAACUGUUAGUACCAUAACUCCCAAAAUCAAUCCUUGUUAUAAACCUUGUGUUUAAAAUUUCAUAGAUUUCUAUAUACUUAUACUAAAGUAAUUAUCUGGAAACAAAAUUUUUUCAACUACGAUGAUUUUUUUAUUGUAAAUGUACAUUCCUAGUAUGAUAAGUUCCUCCCUCAUUGUACUAUAAAUAGCUUCCUUAAAUGAUAUAUGUGUCUAAGCAACACAUAUACCCCUGCAUGGAAAUAUACUGCAAAUUCUUCAAUCUUUCAAUUUACAAGUUUUAUAUUGAUCAGUUUGGGGGGAUAGAACCUUUAUGGGGACUCCGGGAUCGGGUGUUUUUAAGCUUGGGAUUUCCCCGAUUGACCCUUUCAGCUACCAGGAAUUCUAUUUUUGAGUUUCGGAAUGUCGGGAUUUAAAUUUAUUUAAAUUCGGGAACUCUGGAUUUUCGUGUUUAUAAGCCCAGGAUUUCGGGAUCAGGACCCCUCCUACCCUCCCUCAUCAGUGUUUCGGUAUUAAUAAGCAUUGAGUAUGUAUCAUAACAUUUUUUCAGGCAAACUAAGGAAAAUUGCAGAAAUGGCAAAUUUAGCAAUUUUUCCAUUUCUAAAAGGACAUAAAUCCAGGUCAAUAAAAGUGAAGUCAACCAAAUUCAAUCUAGAACUUGGUAAAUUCCAAAUUUCAAGGGUAUUAAUUUCAAUAUUAGGAAUAAACUGAAGAUACGUCACUAAUGUUUUAUGUAUAAAUCGGCUGAUCAUUUGUGACCUGUCAGAUGUUUUUAGCUAUAAAAGUUUAAAAGAUAAUAUUUGCAAUUUAUACUUAUGUUGUACUAUAGUAUCAGGCCCAUAGCCAGGAAUUUCCAAAGGGGGGUUAUUUGGCCUCAAAAACUUGACUUUAACAGUCACAAUUCGAACAGAACGUUGACUUUAACAGUAAUUAUUUGUUUUUAAGGGGGGGGUUCGGACGAACCCCACGAACCCCCCUGGCUACGGGUAUGAGUAUUGGUGACGUGGGAGAGGAAUUUCUCCAGACUAUAUGCCCUAAAGGAUGAUUGUAAACAAUAACUAGAGGCUCUCAAGAGCCUGUAUCGCUCACCUGAUUCUACUUGGGUUUUUGAAAUCAUAUAAAAAAAUAUAAAAUUUGGCUAAAAGUGACAACACAACCUCAUUUAUAAGGAAAGGAACAUGUUUAAUUUCAUUCAAAAGUCCCCCACUGGCGGCCAUCUUGGAUGACGGAUCGGCUACAAAGUGACAACACUUGGUCAGCACCUCAUAAGGAACAUUUAUGCCAUGUUUGGUUUUAUUCCAUUCAGUGGUUCUCUAAAAGAAGUCAUUUGUAUGCAUUUCCCAUAGGGUCCUAUGUUAAACUAAGUCCCCUGCUGGCGGCCAUCUUGGAUGAUGGAUCGGCUACAAAGUAACAACACUUGGUCAGCACUCAUAAGGAACAUUCAUGCAAUGUUUGGUUUUAUUCCAUUCAGUGGUUCUC